rnacentral:lncRNA from 1 species
GCCAGACCACUAGCCAGACUAAUAAAAAAGAAAAGAGAGAAGAAUCGAAUAGACACACUGGCCAUUGAUGCAGCCACUGGGGCAAAGCAAGCAGCUGAUGGUCAGGAAGACUAGUGAAGAAUCUGAAGCAAUUCAUAAAGUGUCCAGGUAUACUCCAAAAUCUACAUCUGUGGUCCAGAUAUUAGCACUUGGAUAGGCCACAGGUGUCUCAAUCUCAACAUCUCCCAAAAUAUUUUUAACCUUUUUUAUUAUGAUGUAUUACAUACUGACAGAAAAGUAACAAAAAAUUCACAGAGGGGGAGGAGAUAUUUGUAAUACAUAAAACUUAAAAAAGACCCAUUCUAGAAGAAUAUGUAAAAAGCUCCUUCAAAUCAAUAAACAGUAAACAACCUAGUAGAAAAAAGAGGCAAAAACUUAACAUAUAUUUCAUAAAAAGAGAAAUGCAAAUGCCCAAUAAAUAUAUGACAACAGCUCUACUUAAUUAGUAAUAUGGAAAAUUCACUUUAAGUCACAAUAAUUCAUCUUGUAGAUAGGAUAGAGUAGGAAAGAUACAUGAAUAUUCUGCUGCAACAACUAGAAAAAAAGAUAAAGCCGGGCACAGUGGCUCACGCCUGUAAUGCCACUGCACUUCAGCCUGAGAGAUAGAGUGAGACUCUGUCUCAAAGGAAAAAAAAAGAAAAGAAAAAGAAAGAAAGAUCACAAAAAUCAUUUUUCAAUACAUCAGUGUUCAUUUAGAUGAAUUAAAAUUUCAGCAGGAAGAGUUUUUUUGCUAGAUAAGCUGGCAAUGACUUUUCCUUUCUCAUACUGUCUUAUUCUAGGCACAGACUGAGGAAUUGCGCUUGGCCUAAUAAGAAUGAUUCCCCUGGGGGAAAGAAACAGAAGAGCAUUUGACAACUACAUGGGCUGGCAUAAUGGAUUGGAAUUUAAAGGUGCUACAAAUGUGCCACCAGUUUAUCACAUGGGACAUUUUCUCACCGAGUGAAGCAGGAAGCUGGUGGGCCUAGGCCAGGAAGGCAGAGUGAAAUUUCAUGACGCUUAGAAGACAAAGAGCCUUGCUAAAAUUAAGUGAAUGGUCCUGCAACAAAUACACAACAGGUCUCCCUUCUUAAGAAAUCCACCAGAUUGUGAAACUGCAUGGGGAGAGAAGCACGAAAGGAUUAAGUUUAAAACUCCAAAGCACAGAAAAAUGCUGAGGAGACAGGGACUCACGAGGCUUUCAAUCAGAAGCCUGAAAUGGUCACACUUGAGCAUGUUGCUGGCUGGAAAGGCAGAGUAAAAUGUCUUGUGAUUUCAUGGUGUUCAAAUCUCUGAAGGACAGAUGACUCUCCAUUGGUAUUUCAGGCUUUCCCUACAGUAGGCAAGUACUUUGGACCUACCAGUCUUUCAACAAAAAGCUCAGAAGGGUCACCUCUAAGGAACAGGUAUAAAUCAGAGGUGAACUAAGUUUCAUUAAAACUAUACCUCAGCUCCAACCUAGCUCAAUUCCAGAUUGGAUGUGGUGAUUUUCACCUUACCACAUCUAGUUAACAAGGAAAAGUUUGCACCAUCUCUGGGGGAAAAUAGUAUCACCUGUACUUUCUACUAUACACAAUAUAUGCAUAUAGUUAAAAUUAUAACGCAUAUAGGAGGAAGAAAAAGGAUAUCAAUAAUCAAGAUAAAAAACAAACAGAGCCAAAUCCACCCAUGAUCUAUAUGGUGGAAUUAGCAGACAAAUAUUUUAAUUUAAUUUAAUUUUUUUUUUUUUAGAGAUGGGGUUUUGCCAUGUUGGCCAAGCUGGUCUCAAACUCCUGGCCCCAAGUGACCAGCCUGCCUUGGCCUCCCAAAGUGUUGGGAUUUACAGGAGUGAGCCACCAUUCCUGGCCCCAAAAAAUUAAAAAUCACUAUUACAAAUUUUAAAAAAAUAAUUGAAGAAGAGAUAUAAAAGUAAGUGAAAAAGUAGAGUGAAAAUGUCUAGUCAAUUAAAAUUUAUUUAAAAGAAUCAAAUGAACAAUCCAGAAAUGAAAUAAUAAACUAAUCAAAUGGGUUUAAGGACAUAUUAGAAAGACUAGUGAACACAAAAACAGGUCCAAUAAAAAUAUUCAAACUGAACAUAGAAAGAAAGAAAGAAUAAGAAAAACAACAGUAAUAAAAGACAUGCAGGACAGAUUCAAAUCGCCUAACAUAUAUAUAAUUGGAAUUUUGAAUGCAGAAGAGAAAGAGAAUGGGGCUGAAGCAAUAUUUAAAGAAAUAAUGGCCAAGGAUUUUCUUAAAUUGAUUUAAAAAAUGUAUCAGGCCAGGUGCAGUGGCUCACGCAUAUAAUCCCAGAACUUUUGGAAGCCAGUGCAGGUGGAUUGCUUGAACUCUGGAGUUUGAGACCAGUCUUGGCAACAUGGUGAAACCCCAUUUCUACUAAAAAAUACCAAAAAAAACUAGCUGGACGUGGUGGUGUGCACCUGUGGUCCCAGAUACUCGCAAGGCUGAGGUGGGAGGAUUAUCUGAGCCCAGGAAGUUAAGGCUGCAGUGAACCAUAAUUGCACCACUGAACCCAGCUUGGACAACAGAGUGAGACCCUGUCUCAAAAAAUACAUGUAUAUUAAAUAAAAUACAUAUUCAAGAGGUUCAGGAUAAAUGCAAAGAUUACCAUGCCCAGAUACAAUUUGGUAAAACUUCUGAAAUCAGAGAUAAAAAACUAAAAUAUUAAAAUCAGCUAGAAAAAAAUGAAGCAUUAUCUUUAAAAGAGCAACAAUGAGAUUUCCAACUGACUUUUCAGCAGAAGCAACAAAGAAUAUGGAAUGACAUCAUUCACUUGCUAAAAGAAAAAAAUUCCCAACCUAGAAUUCUAUACCAAGAAAAAGUUUUCUUCAAAAUAAUGUGAGAUAGGUUGGGCACGGUGGCUCAUGCCUGUAAUCCCAGCACUUUGGGAGGCCGAGGCGGGCGGAUCACUUGAGGCCGAGAGUUCAAGACCAGCCUGGCCAACAUGGUGCAACCCUGUCUUCACUAAAAAUACAAAAAUUAGCUGGGUAUGGUGGUGCAUGCCUGUAAUUACUCCCAGCUACUUGGGAGGCCAAGGCAGGAGAAUCGCUUGAAUCUGGGGGGCAGAGGUUGCAGUGAGCUGAGAUAGCACCACUACACUCCAGCCUGGGCGACACAGUGAGACUGUGUAUCAUAAAAAAAAAACCAACUUUGGACCAAAGGAAAAAACAAAACCCAGAAAACAAAAACUAAGUGAAUUUAUUUCUAGAAAAUCCACACAGUAAUAAAUUCUAGAAGAAGUUCUUUAGGCUGAAGGAAAAUGAUCCCAGUUGAAGUACAGAGCUGCGGGAGAAAUGAAAAAUAACAGAGUGGUAAAUAUGUGAGUCAGUAUAAAAGUAACCAGAUUUUUUAAAAAGCGACAAUAAUACAGAUGGUUCCCAACUUGCAAUGGUCCGACUUAAGAGUUUUCAACUCUACAAUGGUGCAAAAGCAAUAACAUUCAGUAGAAAUCAUACUUUGAGUACCCAUACAACCAUUCUGUUUUUCAUUUUCAGUAUCAUAUUUGGUAAGUUACAUGAGAUAUUCAACACUUUGUUAUAAAGUAGGCUUUGUGUUAAUUUUGCCCAUGUAGGCUAAGGUAAGUGUCCCGAGCAUACUGAAGGUAGGCUACUCUAAGCUAUGAUGCCAGGUAGAUUAGGUUAUUAAAUGCUUUUUUUUUUUUUUUUUGAGAUGGAGUCUCGCGAUGGUCUUGAUCUCCCGACCUCGUGAUCCACCUGCCUCGGCCUCCCAAGGUGCUGGGAUUACAGGCGUGAGCCACCGCGCCCGGCCGAUUAAAUGCUUUUUUAAAAAAAAAAAAAUAUUGAGACAGGGUCUUGCUCUGUUGCCCAGGCUGGAGUGCAGUGGCAAGAACAGGACUCACUGCAGCCUCAGCUUCCUAGGCUCAAGUAAUCCUCCCGCCUCAGCCUCCUGAGUAACUAGGACCACACGUGCAUGCUACCACAUCUGGCUAAUUUUUUUUUUUUUAAUUUUUGUAGAGGUGGAGUCUCCCCAGAUUUCCCAGGCUGGGUUUUAACUCCUGGACUCAGGCGAUCCUCCCGCCUCAGCCUUCCAAAAUACUGGGAUUAUAGGCGUGAGCCACUGGGUUCGGCCCUAAAUGUAUUUUUGACUUAUGAUAUCUUCAAUUUAGAAUGGAUUUAUCUGAACAUAACCCCAUCAUAAGUUGAGGAGCAUCUAUGGUGUCUUGUGAGGUUUAUUCCAUAUAUAGAAAUAAAAUAUAUGACAACACUACAAAAGUUUGAAGGGGGAUAAAAGGAAUUAAACUGUUGUAAGAUUUCUCUAUUGUUGUAGAAGUACUGAUGUAUUUUUACCGUAUUUACUGCCUUAUUGAUUAGUGAGUAUAAUGAGUCAAAUAUAAAGAGGUCUCGAGAGUAUUGUGUAAUCUGAUAGCUAGUAGCCACAUGUCACUAUGGAGCACCUGAUGUGACUAGCUCAAAUUGAGAUGCAAUGUAAGAAUAAAACAUCCACCAUAUUUGGAAGCUGUAGUAUGAAAGAAUGUAAAAUAUCUCAUAACAAUUUUUUAUAUUAAAUAUGUCUUGAAAUGAUAGUAUGUUGGGUACAUUUGGUUAAAUAAAAACAUUAUUCAAAUUAACCAAGAUCGUGCCAUUGCACUCCAGCCUGGGCAACAAGAGUGAAAAGAGCAAACUCCAUCUCAA